CGCGGCCUAUCAGCUUGUUGGUGGGGUAAUGGCCUACCAAGGCGACGACGGGUAGCCGGCCUGAGAGGGUGAUCGGCCACACUGGGACUGAGACACGGCCCAGACUCCUACGGGAGGCAGCAGUGGGGAAUAUUGCACAAUGGGCGAAAGCCUGAUGCAGCGACGCCGCGUGGGGGAUGACGGUCUUCGGAUUGUAAACUCCUUUCAGUAGGGACGAAGCGAAAGUGACGGUACCUGCAGAAGAAGCACCGGCCAACUACGUGCCAGCAGCCGCGGUAAUACGUAGGGUGCAAGCGUUGUCCGGAAUUACUGGGCGUAAAGAGCUCGUAGGCGGUUUGUCACGUCGUCUGUGAAAUCCUCCAGCUCAACUGGGGGCGUGCAGGCGAUACGGGCAGACUUGAGUACUACAGGGGAGACUGGAAUUCCUGGUGUAGCGGUGAAAUGCGCAGAUAUCAGGAGGAACACCGGUGGCGAAGGCGGGUCUCUGGGUAGUAACUGACGCUGAGGAGCGAAAGCAUGGGGAGCAAACAGGAUUAGAUACCCUGGUAGUCCAUGCCGUAAACGGUGGGCGCUAGGUGUGGGGUCCUUCCACGGAUUCCGUGCCGUAGCUAACGCAUUAAGCGCCCCGCCUGGGGAGUACGGA
rnacentral:rRNA from 1 species